rnacentral:rRNA from 1 species
UACAGAGGGUGCGAGCGUUGUCCGGAAUCACUGGGCGUAAAGGGCGCGUAGGCGGUCUGCUAAGCGUGUGGUGAAAGCUCGGGGCUCAACCCCGAGUCGGCCGUGCGAACUGGUGGACUGGAGCAUGUCAGAGGCAGGCGGAAUUCCGGGUGUAGCGGUGGAAUGCGUAGAGAUCCGGAAGAACACCGGUGGCGAAGGCGGCCUGCUGGGACACGGCUGACGCUGAGGCGCGACAGCGUGGGGAGCAAACAGG